UUCGGACCUCCAAUCAAGCAA
rnacentral:rRNA from 1 species